rnacentral:rRNA from 1 species
GCGGUGAAAUGCGUAGAUAUUGGGAGGAACACCAGUGGCGAAGGCGGCUCACUGGACUGGUACUGACGCUGAUGCGCGAAAGCGUGGGGAGCAAACGGGAUUAGAUACCCCGGUAGUCCACGCCGUAAACGAUGAGUGCUUGGUGUAGCGGGUAUCGACCCCUGCUGUGCCGAAGUCAACACAUUAAGCACUCCGCCUGGGGAGUACGGUCGCAAGGCUGAAACUCAAAUGAAUUGACGG